UCAAGAGUUCCUGCUCCAGCCAAAGAUAAAUUGGUUGUUACUCUGGCAUCGUUGACUUUUGGGGCAGCAUGGACUUCUUAAAGCUACUUUGGAUCGCAAUUUCGUAUGUUAUGGCAGUUGGUGUGGUUACGUCGUUCCCAGUUCAAGAUGUUGGUGGAACAGUUCCUCUUAUCCGACCACAGACUAAGCCUGACCCGGAACUCUGGGCAGCAGUACGAAAACUGAUGAUUAAAGCCAGCAAUUAUAAUCGAUAGAUCUUUCCUUUCGCUAAGACAGCGGUCAGGAUACACCAGAUGUGAAAUAGGAGACCCAUAUGCCACGAGCACAGUAAUUAUUCAAUCGCAGGAGGAAGCAAUGGCCAAAAGUUUGAAGAAAGUUCUAAAGUUGAAUCAUAGUUUCAUGUAGGAAUGAGUAAGAAAGUCGAGCACAGAGAGGAAUGUAUUUAUGAAAGCUGCGGAAAAGAUCAACGUUGACUUGAAUGGCGAGGAGCGAUGGAAUUCCUAGAAAUACAUUCCUGUUAAAUACAUAAAAUUUGUGAGACCAAGAGGUUGAAAUACCAUUUCUAAAAUUGGCUACGUUUCUGAAAAAGGAACAAAACAUCAAGCUAGAUUGAAAGAAGGAAACAGCUAAAAGAAGUAUAAGGUAACUGCAGCGGUAGACUGUGAUGAAAGUUAUGUAAUGUAAUAAUUUGGAUAUAUCAACAAAGUUGAAAUGGUAAAUUGGCCACCGUAAUGAUUACAAAAGCUGA